rnacentral:rRNA from 1 species
UGGGGAAUAUUGCACAAUGGGCGCAAGCCUGAUGCAGCAACGCCGCGUGAACGAUGAAGGCCUUCGGAACGUAACGUUCUGUUGCUGGGGAAGAUAAUGACGGUACCCUGUGAGGAAGCCCCGGCUAACUACGUGCCAGCAGCCGCGGUAAUACGUAGGGGGCUAGCGUUAUCCGGAUUUACUGGGCGUAAAGGGUGCGUAGGUGGUCUUUCAAGUCGGUGGUUAAAGGCUACGGCUCAACCGUAGUUAGCCUCCGAAACUGGAAGACUUGAGUGCAGGGGAGGAAAGUGGAAUUCCCAGUGUAGCGGUGAAAUGCGUAGAUAUUGGGAGGAACACCAGUAGCGAAGGCGGCUUUCUGGACUGCAACUGACACUGAGGCACGAAAGCGUGGGUAGCAAACAGG